UACGAAGGGUGCUAGCGUUAUUCGGAAUUAUUGGGCGUAAAGGGUGCGUAGGCGGCAUAUUAAGUCAACUGUUAAAGACCUCAGCCUAACUGGGGAUCGGCGGUAGAUACUGGUGUGCUAGAGGAUGGAAGAGAGAAGUGGAAUUCUUGGAGUAGCGGUAAAAUGCGUAGAUCUCAAGAGGAACACCGAUGGCGAAGGCAGCUUCUUGGUCCAUAUCUGACGCUGAUGCACGAAAGCAUGGGGAGCAAACAGG
rnacentral:rRNA from 1 species